rnacentral:misc_RNA from 1 species
UUGUGGAGGAGGACGCCGAAGGUGGGGCUAAUGACUGGGGUGAAGUCGUAACAAGGUAGCCGUACCGGAAGGUGCGGCUGGAUCACCUCCUAACAGGGAGACAACAAAAUGUUUAUAUUAUUAUUUUGUCACCUUAGGUCGAUCGGUAUCUCACGUUUUUAAUUUAUUAAAAACUUCAUUUCCUAAGUUUUUCUAGGUCACACCCAUUAUUUUUCCUGGGCCAUUAGCUCAGGUGGUUAGAGCGCACCCCUGAUAAGGGUGAGGUCCCUGGUUCAAGUCCAGGAUGGCCCAUAUCUCUAUGUUGGGGGUAUAGCUCAGUUGGUAGAGCGCCUGCUUUGCAAGCAGGAUGUCAGCGGUUCGAGUCCGCUUACCUCCACUGAUUACCACCUCUUCCAUAAUCUGUAUAAAGGAAAUGUUUUGAGUUGUGAUCAAAUUCUGAACGAAUCUAGCUUCAUAAUGAAAUCAUUAAGAUGCUGGACUCAUUGAUUAAUUUCACUGUUUUCAGAGAACCUUGACAACUGCAUAGAUUUUUUUAAAGACAAUAAGCAUCUUUAGUGAUGCAGAUUUAUUAUUUGUGCGAAUGCAUUAAUAACAAUUCUAUUAAGCUGAUGCUUCAAUUAUGAAGUUAUUGGUCAAGCUACAA